CCUAGUCGGCCGCUGAGAGGCGCGCGGAGUCUGGGCCGCUGCCGUCUAGGGGUCCCGUCCCGAGGCGUCCCCGGCAUCUCCGGCCCGAAUCCCGGAGUGCCGGGUCGCGCCUGCACCGAAGGUCCCGGCUCCUGUGCCCUCCCUGCAGCCGUCAGGGCCCGUCCCCCAACUCCCCUUUCCGCUCAGGCAGGGUCCUCGCGGCCCAUGCUGGCCGCUGGGGACCCGCGCAGCCCAGACCGUUCCCGGGCCGGGCAGCCGGCCACCAUGGUGGCCCUGAGGCCUGUGCAGCAACUCCAGGGGGGCUAAAGGGCUCAGAGUGCAGGCCGUGGGGCGCGAGGGUCCCGGGCCUGAGCCCCGCGCCAUGGCCGGGGCCAUCGCUUCCCGCAUGAGCUUCAGCUCUCUCAAGAGGAAGCAACCCAAGACGUUCACCGUGAGGAUCGUCACCAUGGACGCCGAGAUGGAGUUCAAUUGCGAGAUGAAGUGGAAAGGGAAGGACCUCUUUGAUUUGGUGUGCCGGACUCUGGGGCUCCGAGAAACCUGGUUCUUUGGACUGCAGUACACAAUCAAGGACACAGUGGCCUGGCUCAAAAUGGACAAGAAGGUACUGGAUCAUGAUGUUUCAAAGGAAGAACCAGUCACCUUUCACUUCUUGGCCAAAUUUUAUCCUGAGAAUGCUGAAGAGGAGCUGGUUCAGGAGAUCACACAACAUUUAUUCUUCUUACAGGUAAAGAAGCAGAUUUUAGAUG
rnacentral:lncRNA from 1 species